rnacentral:rRNA from 1 species
CUAACGGGACUGCCCGCGAAAGCGGGAGGAAGAGGGGACGACGUCUGGUCAGCAUGGCCCUUACGGCCUGGGCGACACACGUGCUACAAUGCCCACUACAAAGCGAGGCCACCCGGCAACGGGGAGCUAAUCGCAAAAAGGUGGGCCCAGUUCGGAUUGGGGUCUGCAACCCGACCCCAUGAAGCCGGAAUCGCUAGUAAUCGCGGAUCAGCCAUGCCGCGGUGAAUACGUUUCCGGGCCUU